GAACGGGCUUCAGACUGCAGACAGCAACUCAGAAAUCAAAGCACAACUCUGAACUCGUGACUGUGAAGACCAGUUGACCGGCCAACAUGCUCUCACGAUUCCUGCUGGUCCUUUGUGCUCUAGCAACUGUGUGUCUGUCAGCUCCUAUCAUUGAGUCUCGGGGAUCACACAGUGAUGACAGAACUGGGCCUUUACUAGACUACCUUAAUGAUUCCUCAACUGAUAAACCAGGUGGAGACAGUCUGGAGACCACCAGCGGACCUGAUUCAGCAGGUGGAGACAGUCUGGAGACCACCAGCGGACCUGAUUCAGCAG